GUACACAGGCAUACCAGCCCGCAGGGAGGAGGUCUGGAUACUGCGUAGGCGGGCAGGGUAACUGUGUAGUGAUUGGCUGGAAAAGACGAAUUUAGAACGGAGCAGCUGCCAGACUUACGAAAGUGUGUGCUGAGUGGCGGAAGCUAAAUACCUACGGGGGCGGGGUCGAGCUGCAAUCAGUUACAAACAGGCGGAACCUGGCUUUGCAUGGAUUGGCGGAAGCUGGACUCAACCUAGAAUAGAGACCAGACCAGGGAAGGCGGGAUCAGCCCUACACCCAUUGCUGGAAGCUGGAACUGCUUAGCGUCUGGGGCAAGGCCAAGGUUGAGCCUAGAUGGACGUCCCCACCCUAAACAUUUGGAGAUAGAGUCUAAGAAUGGAGUGAGCUGCUCUCACCUCUAGCAACAUGUGGAUAUGGGCCUUGAUAUUCAUGGAGUCCUUGGUGAGGUUGUCGCUGAGCCUGGAGAAAAGAAACAAGAAAGGUGAAGUGGGCCCCACUUAUGGUCAGGAGGAUGAUGCUUCUUCAUCACUUCAGGAACUAACUACAUUCUGUAUGACUUCCACAUGGUAGGUGGUAGAACAUCCUACUACCUGAGCUGCUCCUAUGCAGAGAUGCCUGGCUGCCAUCUGGACUGCACUGAUUCAGAGACAUUUACUGAGUGCCUACUCUACACCAGGUCGUUUUAGGCUGAGACCUCCAGGAUCUGGUCAAAACUGUGCUGAUGUGUAACAGUUAUAGCCCUUCUAGAAUGCAAGCUUUCAAGGAAUCCUUCUGUCUUGUUCAUGCUGCCUCCCCAACAUCAAGCACAGAGCCUGGCAUACAGCAAAUGCCCAAUAAAUUUUUGUGUGAGU